AAACUUGUGUUUAACUUGCUAAUACAUCGAUCGUCCUGAAGCAUAGUUAAACUACAAAAAUGUCAAAAAUAAUUCUAUUAUUAUUAUCUAUUUUCUUAUCAAUCGUCAUCUAUACUAGUGAAGUGGAGGGAUGUGUCGGUAAAUGGUGUCACCCCCAGCAAGGUUAUGGCUGUUGUGCAGGGCAUGAAUGUAGCUCAUAUAUGUUUCAAGGCAAUUGCGUCGUUCAAGGGAAUCUAGAUCAUCCAGGGCUUGCACUAAACGAGCUUUCACAUGGAAAAAAAUGAUUGUGAUGUGUAAUUGUAAUUAUAACUGUUACUGAUUACAGUUCAUUAAAUAAUUCAAAAUUA